rnacentral:lncRNA from 1 species
AAAGAUCUAGGUAGUUCAGUUCCUAGGAUAUUUGCCCAAAAUACAUUAUUGGCAAACAUCGGGGAACUACUGGUAAUAAAGAUUUACACAAAAAGUCUUCUCCAGCUGCUUCCUUUGCAGGUGUAUCAACCACCCUAAUUUGCUCCCUGUAGACAUGCUUCACCACUACUCUUCACAUCCUCUGAAUCAAUAACCUGCAUUCACAAACUAAAGGUUCAAUUGUUAGGUUACCAUUUAUAAGCAUGUUGAUGGUUUCAGCCGAAUCAGUGUUAAUCGUGGCAGUAGGUUAUUCUACUAUGCCAAUUGGUGACAUUUGACAAUGGCACUGAUCUCUGCCCCUGUAUUUUUGGUGAAGGGGAUAUUUUUCAUGUAGCCCAAAAUCCAUUUCCUAUUGUGAUUUCUGAAAACCCCUCUUAUACCUCCUAGUCCGGUAUUCAUUUUUGAUGCACCAUCUGUGUUAAGCUUGAAAGAGUCUAUUGGUGGAGGCAACCAUUUUAGCAUCUUUUGGUGUUUGACUUUAGUCUGCCUGCUAUCUCUCAAAACACAGAAUUCAGUUGUCUUCACGGUGGCCUUGGUAGCACUAAUUAUGUCUUUCUUAUUGUUUAAGAUAUUACUAUUUCUGUUUAGCCAUAUGUGCCAAAGGCA